CGAUGAUUUGGUCCUCCCACAAACUCAUUCUGCGUCAGGACGACAGUGCCAAACAGGGCCAGGUUAAUGAAUGCGGUGAUGCUAUUUGUGGAUGGCGACAGAAAAGGCCUUGAGAAUAAUAUAAGAGUCUGUUUAUCAUCAAACUCCUGCUUUGUAAAGGUGCCUAUAAAUCCAGAAUGCCCAUAUGCAAAGCAUUUCUUUUGGAAAGUGGAUGAAAGUAAAAUCACCCCAAAGAUACUGCGUCGACACUUCAGUGGUUUGCGCGACGUCUUCCCUGACUUUUAUGAAAACAUGGAAAUGUCCUCUGUGAAGAAUGAAAUGGAAAACAGGGCGACCUGCAAACGCCCCGAGGCAGAAAAUAAGUUUAGCAGCCCGUUUUCAAUAGAGUCCCUUCUGCAGCGGGAAAGCAUCGCCCCCCUGAGGAACAGACCUGCACUUUGUGCAACUAGGAACCUGGAAAACGCUUUUGUGGGCCUCGCAAACGGAGAUCAUGGUUUGGCUUGCAAGAGGAAAACAUGGGACUGGCCCCAUCAGACUUCAGUGGAUCAUAUUCACACUUUUAUUUUCCUACUCACAGUUUGGGCCAAAUGAAUGCUGGCUGCAGUCCCUCCAGUGGAUCCUCCAGGAGGAUGUGCUCAGUCUCUGAACUGUCCUAUUGUACAGCACCUGAGAGCAUUAGGCAAUUCACUCCAAAUGCUGUGACCUGGGCCUACAUGUAAACUGCACUUAACAUACACUUACUUUUCUUAGUGUACAUAUCUUACUGAUUUAUUCUGCAUUGUUGAAAAUAUCU